rnacentral:rRNA from 1 species
CCUACGGGUGGCAGCAGUGGGGAAUAUUGGGCAAUGGGCGCAAGCCUGACCCAGCAACGCCGCGUGAAGGAAGAAGGCCUUCGGGUUGUAAACUUCUUUUCUCAGGGACGAAGCAAGUGGCGGUACCUGAGGAAUAAGCCACGGCUAAAUACGUGCCAGCAGCCGCGGUAAUACGGAGGUGGCAAGCGUUAGGCGGAUUUACUGGGUGUAAAGGGCGUGGAGGCGGGACUGCAAGUUAGGUGGGAAAACCAUGGGCUGAAACUAGUGGCCGCAUUGGAAACUGUAGUUCUUGAGUACUGGAGAGGCAGGCGGAAUUCCUAGUGUAGCGGUGAAAUGCGUAGAUAUUAGGAGGAACACCAGUGGCGAAGGCGGUCUGCUGGGCAGCAACUGACGCUGAGGCGCGAAAGCGUGGGGAGCAAACAGGAUUAGAUACCCGUGUAGUC